AUGCACGCUGGCGGCGUGCCUCAUACAUGCAAGUCGAGCGCACAGACGAGGAGCUUGCUCCUCUGACGUUAGCGGCGGACGGGUGAGUAACACGUGGAUAACCUACCUAUAAGACUGGGAUAACUUCGGGAAACCGGAGCUAAUACCGGAUAAUAUAUUGAACCGCAUGGUUCAAUAGUGAAAGACGGUUUUGCUGUCACUUAUAGAUGGAUCCGCGCCGCAUUAGCUAGUUGGUAAGGUAACGGCUUACCAAGGCAACGAUGCGUAGCCGACCUGAGAGGGUGAUCGGCCACACUGGAACUGAGACACGGUCCAGACUCCUACGGGAGGCAGCAGUAGGGAAUCUUCCGCAAUGGGCGAAAGCCUGACGGAGCAACGCCGCGUGAGUGAUGAAGGUCUUCGGAUCGUAAAACUCUGUUAUUAGGGAAGAACAAAUGUGUAAGUAACUAUGCACGUCUUGACGGUACCUAAUCAGAAAGCCACGGCGAACUACGU
rnacentral:rRNA from 1 species